GCGUGUGUAGCUCAGCUGGAUAGAGUGUUUGGCUACGAACCAAAAGGUCGGGGGUUCGAAUCCCUCCACGCGUA
rnacentral:tRNA from 1 species